UGCAGAGGUCUCAAGCGUUGUUCGGAUUCAUUGGGCGUAAAGGGUGUGUAGGUGGCGCCGUAAGUCGGGUGUGAAAUUUCGGAGCUUAACUCCGAAACUGCAUUCGAUACUGCGGUGCUUGAGGACUGGAGAGGAGACUGGAAUUCAUGGUGUAGCAGUGAAAUGCGUAGAGAUCAUGAGGAAGACCAGUGGCGAAGGCGGGUCUCUGGGCCGUAACUGACGCUGAGGAGCGAAAGCGUGGGGAGCGAACAGG
rnacentral:rRNA from 1 species